rnacentral:miRNA from 1 species
GUGGAAGGUCUCACCUGUAAGAG